GGUACCUGGCGGCGUGCCUAACCAUGCAAGUCGAGCGAUCUCUUCGGAGAGAGCGGCGGCACGGGUGAGUAACGCGUGGGUAACCUGCCCUGUACACACGGAUAACAUACCGAAAGGUAUACUAAUACGGGAUAACAUACGAAAGUCGCAUGGCUUUUGUAUCAAAGCUCCGGCGGUACAGGAUGGACCCGCGUCUGAUUAGCUAGUUGGUAAGGUAAUGGCUUACCAAGGCAACGAUCAGUAGCCGACCUGAGAGGGUGAUCGGCCACACUGGAACUGAGACACGGUCCAGACUCCUACGGGAGGCAGCAGUGGGGAAUAUUGCACAAUGGGCGAAAGCCUGAUGCAGCAACGCCGCGUGAGCGAUGAAGGCCUUCGGGUCGUAAAGCUCUGUCCUCAAGGAAGAUAAUGACGGUACUUGAGGAGGAAGCCCCGGCUAACUACGUGCCAGCAGCCGCGGUAAUACGUAGGGGGCUAGCGUUAUCCGGAAUUACUGGGCGUAAAGGGUGCGUAGGUGGUUUUUUAAGUCAGAAGUGAAAGGCUACGGCUCAACCGUAGUAAGCUUUUGAAACUAGAGAACUUGAGUGCAGGAGAGGAGAGUAGAAUUCCUAGUGUAGCGGUGAAAUGCGUAGAUAUUAGGAGGAAUACCAGUAGCGAAGGCGGCUCUCUGGACUGUAACUGACACUGAGGCACGAAAGCGUGGGGAGCAAACAGGAUUAGAUACCCUGGUAGUCCACGCCGUAAACGAUGAGUACUAGGUGUCGGGGGUUACCCCCCUCGGUGCCGCAGCUAACGCAUUAAGUACUCCGCC
rnacentral:rRNA from 1 species